GAAUGCCUGCUUUUCUCCCAACUAAUGGCGUCUCUUUGAGCUAGCAGUUAGCCCGCUAGCUACGCCGAAGAUCGUCUACACUCGGGAGGAUGGAUCACUUCGGUUUCUUAAGACCAGUCCAAAAUGAUGUGACUUCAUCGGGCUUUCUUUGAAGCUGAAACAACUCUGGAGUCUUCAGUCCGGACUGCAGAUCCAACACUGGUGCUCUGAACUCGCAGCAGAGUGGGAGCUCGGCGCUGCUUCCGCCUCUCUGCAGCGUCACAUGAUGAAAGAGUCGGCUCGCUGUCACAACCUCAGAGCUGCAGGGGGUUUCUGAUGUUGGCACAUCAAACAACAAACGGCCCAGAAAAUCAUUUUAGUACUAUUACACACAGUUUUUUUGUGUAUUUCUUUGACUUCCUUCCCCAGAAUUUUUAAGGGACAGGGGUAAGAGGUUCCCUGAGUUCCCUGAUGUGAGCAAACGUCGUGACAGUACCACCACUCGACCACUAGAGGUCAGAGUCUGACUGAAAAUGGAGCAGCAGGGAAACUUUCAAAUGCACAAAGAAGAAUCAGUGCAACUGAUGUGGAACCAGGUCUAAUGGUAAUCAUAUAAAUGAAUGUAUCAAAUUAUUUUAUUUCUGAAAUUCUUUAAACAUUUAAGUUUUGUAAGAUAAGGUGUCAUACUUACAUAUAUUACCAAUUCCACAUAGUUCUUACGCUUAUGGCCUUUGAUUGCUUUCACAUUUGUGAUUAAAAGUGAGAUUCUACACGUUUAGAAGAGAGCUGAUGCAUAAAAUUGUCCUUACAGAGAUAAAUAUAAAGUUGUAUUGAAUUUAAUUGAUCUUUCAGGAACCGUACACAAGAGUUAAAUGACAGCCGGCGAGCUCAACUUUCUCUGUGGUUAAUGUUUGUUUAAACAUGAUGGAAAUAUAUUUGCAUCUCAACGGUCACAUUAUUAGUUUAUUUUUAUAUUUUGUUAAUUUUAUAGUUAUAUAUUUAUGCAAAGCAUCUCCCCCUGUUAUAUGUCUGACCAACACAAAUCUAUUUAUACAUUUUUAAAUCUAUUUUUUGUCGACUGUACUUUAAUGUCUAGCAACUUAGCACUGCUGCAAAUUCCUCAUACGUGUAAAAUACUAAUUGGUAAUAAAACUCUUACUGAUUCUGAUUUAUUUAAAUUUAAUUUUUGUUUAAUAAAAAUAAUUUGUCACAUUUUAAAAUGUAAAGAAAAUGCUUUCGAACUUGUGUUUGCUUUUGCCGAAUUCUUGUUUUUCCAUUUCUAGUUUUUUAAUCUCUAUAUCGUUUUUUGAUCAUUUCAGCAUCUGUAGGUUUGGAGCUAGCUGUUUCCCCCUGCUUCCAGUCUUUAUGCUAAGCUAAGCUAACAUCAUACAUGAGAGUGACAUCUGAACUAUUGCUUUAAAUAAACAGAGCCUGAGAGCCAGAGACUGCU